rnacentral:rRNA from 1 species
CGCCCUUAGAGUUUGAUCAUGGCUCAGGACGAACGCUGGCGGCGUGCCUAAUACAUGCAAGUUGAGCGUUGGUACUUGUACCAAGAGCAGCGAACGGGUGAGUAACGCGUGGGGAAUCUGCCUUUGAGCGGGGGACAACAUUUGGAAACGAAUGCUAAUACCGCAUAAAAACUUAACACAAGUUUAAGUUGAAAGAUGAUUGCAUCACUCAAAGAUGAUCCCGCGUUGUAUUAGCUAGUUGGUGAGGUAAAGGCUCACCAAGGCGAUGAUACAUAGCCGACCUGAGAGGGUGAUCGGCCACAUUGGGACUGAGACACGGCCCAAACUCCUACGGGAGGCAGCAGUAGGGAAUCUUCGGCAAUGGACGAAAGUCUGACCGAGCAACGCCGCGUGAGUGAAGAAGGUUUUCGGAUCGUAAAACUCUGUUGGUAGAGAAGAACGUUGGUGAGGAAACUCAUCAAGUGACGGUAACUACCCAGAAAGGGACGGCUAACUACGUGCCAGCAGCCGCGGUAAUACGUAGUCCCGAGCGUUGUCCGGAUUUAUUGGGCGUAAAGCGAGCGCAGUGGUUUAUUAAGUCUGGUGUAAAAGGCAGUGGCUCAACCAUUGUAUGCAUUGGAAACUGGUAGACUUGAGUGCAGAGAGGAGAGUGGAAUUCCAUGUGUAGCGGUGAAAUGCGUAGAU